AGGACAGAAUAAAGUUGGAAAUUGCAUGGGAUGCAAUUGGAAAGAGUUUCCUACCUUUGAACUUAUAAGGGCUUGUUGUGAUUCCCACAAGGUCUUUUAUAAGGAAUUUGGAUCUCAACCCCACUAAGAAAAUUAGUAUUUUCUCGUUCAUCAUACUUGAGGGUUAUGAUAUUCGAUAAAAAUAGUGGGAGUAACAAUUAGAUAAAAGUCCUUGUCUGAUUGAAUACAUGUCAUCAUAAUUGGUCUGCUUAUAUUAGUGUUCUUUAUAAUU
rnacentral:lncRNA from 1 species